rnacentral:rRNA from 1 species
GACGAACGCUGGCGGCGUGCUUAAUACAUGCAAGUCGAACGGACAGGCCCUGCUCUUGCGGCGUUCACGAGAGGCGAACGCGUGAGUAACACGUGUGUAUCCUCUACUUGUCUUUGGGAUAACAUUAGGAAAAUCGGGCUCUUACCCGAUAGGAGCUCUUGCAGCAUGGUGGGGGUUGGAAAGUUUCGGUGGUUGGGGCUGGAUUCGCGGGUUAUCCGCUUCAUGGUGGAGUAGUGGAUGACCAAGGUUUUGAAGGGUAGCCGGCCUGGGAGGGUGAACGGCCACAUUGGGACUGAGGUACGGCCCAGACUCCUACGGGAGGCAGCAGUGGGGAAUAUUGCGCAAUGGGCGGAAGCCAGAUGUAGCAACGCCGCGUGCGGGAUGACGGCCUUCUGGUUGAAAACCACUGUCGCAUGUAACGAAGCGUGAGUGACGGUAAUGGGUAAGAAAGCACCGGCUAACUACGUG